rnacentral:rRNA from 1 species
ACGAACGCUGGCGGCGUGCCUCAUACAUGCAAGUCGCACGCUUCUUUCCUCCCGAGUUCUUGCACUCAAUCGGAAAGAGGAGUGGCGGACGGGUGAGUAACACGUGGUGAACCUACCCAUCAGAGGGGGAUAACACUUGGAAACAGGGGCUAAUACCGCAUAACAGUUUAUGCCGCAUGGCCUAAGAGUGAAAGGCGCUGUCGGGUGUCUUGGAUGUUGGUGCCGUGGUGCAUUAGCUAGUUGGUGAGGUAACGGCUCACCAAGGCCACGAUGCGUAGCCGACCUGAGAGGGUGAUCGGCCACACUGGGACUGAGACACGGCCCAGACUCCUACGGGAGGCAGCAGUAGGGAAUCUUGGGCAAUGGACGAAAGUCUGACCGAGCAACGCCGCGUGAGUGAAGAAGGUUUUCGGAUCGUAAACUGCUGUUGUAAGAGAAGAACAAGGUCGUUAGUAAAUGAACGUCUCCUGACGGUAUCUAAAGAGAAAGCAACGGCUAACUACGUG